rnacentral:lncRNA from 1 species
UUUUCCUUUGUCUUCUGCCAUGAUUGUAAGCUUCCUGAGGCCUCCCCAGCCAUGUGGAACUUUCCAUUGUGUGGAGCCAGUACUACAACUUUUCCUCCUGCAUUCAUUUCUCUUCCUGCUGCCUUGUGAAGAAGGUGCCUUGCUUCCCCUUCACCUUCUACGGUGAUUGCAAGUUGCCUGAGGAUUCCCCAGCCAUGUGAAACUGGACAUGGAUGAAGCUGGAGACCAUCAUUCUCAGCAAACUAACACAAGAACAGAAAACCAAACACCACAUGUUCUCACUGACCAUUCUUGCUCAUGCACUAGAUAGAGGGAUAGUGCCAACCCACAUAGACUUAGAAGAGAGCAAGCUGGAGGGCCAGUCUUAACGUCCUUCACCUCCUCCGUUCCUGAGUGUGUCUCCCACUGGCUGUACUCAGUAGAAGCCAGAAAGCCAGGGGGCCCACUGAUGUCAUCAAUUCAGGGAUUUCAAGACACAUUUGAUAUCUUACAGAGCUGAUAGCUGCCGUGCAUAGGGGAAAUAAAUGAGAGGAAUAUGUCUGCAUAGUGGGGGUGCAGCUAGCCUUGGGUAGUGAUUCAUUUAAUAUUCUUUUGGCUGCAAGUAACAGAAUAUCCAAAUAAAAUUGGUGCUAUGAAAAAAAAAA